rnacentral:rRNA from 2 species
UUCCGUAGUGAACCUGCGGAGGGAUCAUUACACAAUAUGAAAGCGGGCUGGCAUCCUUCGGGGUUACAGCCUUGCUGAAUUAUUCACCCGUGUCUUUUGCGUACUUCUUGUUUCCUUGGUGGGUUCGCCCACCAUAGGACAAACCAUAAACCUUUUGUAAUUGCAAUCAGCGUCAGUAAAAAAAAUUAAUAAUUACAACUUUUAACAACGGAUCUCUUGGUUCUGGCAUCGAUGAAGAACGCAGCGAAAUGCGAUAAGUAGUGUGAAUUGCAGAAUUCAGUGAAUCAUCGAAUCUUUGAACGCACAUUGCGCCCUUUGGUAUUCCAAAGGGCAUGCCUGUUCGAGCGUCAUUUGUACCCUCAAGCUUUGCUUGGUGUUGGGCGUCUUGUCUCCAGUUCGCUGGAGACUCGCCUUAAAGUAAUUGGCAGCCGGCCUACUGGUUUCGGAGCGCAGCACAAGUCGCGCUCUCUUCCAGCCAAGGUCAGCAUCCACAAAGCCUUUUUUCAACUUUUGACCUCGGAUCAGGUAGGGAUACCCGCUGAACUUAAGCAUAUCAAUAAGCGGAGGAA